UGACGGUACCUGACUAAGAAGCUCCGGCUAACUACGUGCCAGCAGCCGCGGUAAUACGUAGGGGGCAAGCGUUAUCCGGAUUUACUGGGUGUAAAGGGAGCGUAGACGGCUUUGCAAGUCUGAAGUGAAAGCCCGGGGCUCAACCCCGGAACUGCUUUGGAAACUGUUAAGCUAGAGUGCAGGAGAGGUAAGUGGAAUUCCUAGUGUAGCGGUGAAAUGCGUAGAUAUUAGGAGGAACACCAGUGGCGAAGGCGGCUUACUGGACUGUAACUGACGUUGAGGCUCGAAGGCGUGGGGAGCAAACAGGAUUAGAUACCCUG
rnacentral:rRNA from 1 species